UGUGUUGCAGCCUAGCACCCGUCCUUCUGCACACACAAUUUAAUGAACUGCCAGGAUUUGCUUCGUUACCUCAAAGACUGAACUAGAAAUACAAGGAAGAAGGUGCGAAGAUCACUGCAGAUGCAGACUGCAGCCAGGAAAUCAGAAGACGUCUACUUCUUGGGAGGAGAGCAAUGGCCAACCUUGACGAAAUAGUGAAGAGCAGAGACAUCACACUGGCAACGAAAGUCCGCAGAGUCAAAGCAAUGGUAUUCCCCAUAGUAACCUAUGGAUGUGAGAGCUGGACCGUAAAGAAGGCUGAGCGAAGGAAGAUAGACGCAUUUGAACUGUGGUGUUGGAGGAAAAUCCUGAGAGUGCCUUGGACCUUGGCAAGAAGAUCCAACCAGUCCAUCCUCCAGGAAAUAAUGCCCAGUGGCUGCUCACUGGAGGGAAGGAUAUUAGAGGCAAAGCUGAAGUAUUUUGGCCACAUCAUGAGGAGACAGGAAAGCUUGGAAAAGAUCACGAUGCUGGGGAAAAUGGAAGGAAAAAGGAAGAAAGGCCGACCAAGGGCGAGAUGGAUGGACUGUAUCCUUGAAGUGACUGGCUUGACCUCGAAGGAACUGUGGGCGAUGACAACCGACAGGGAGCUCUGGCAUGGACUGGUCCAUGAGGUCACGAAGAGUCGAAAACGACUGAACGAGUGAGACCAUGACUAUGUUCCAUGUAACUGGCCCAGGGAGUGUCCUAGCUGCAUCCUUCAUAUGUGAUAAAUGUAUACAUGUUUUGAGCAUGAAGGUUAUCUGUCAUAGCUGUUCACUGACUGCAAAGUGAAGAUACUGUCAGAAAUACUGAAAUUUAAUAAUGUAUUUUUAAUUACAUAAAAUUAUAUAAAGGCACUGAAAGGGUUAAAUAUGACUUAAAGUGACUCAGCUACACCAGCAGGUUGUUAUAAGCAGGUGUGCCUGUAAAGUUGUGUGGACGAGUAGAGUAGCUGAAGAGUAGCUGAAGAGUAGCUGGUGGAGACGGAGAAAGAAGAAUGAACGAGUGAGUUGCUGUGUUUGUAGUUUGAGUUGUCCACAAUAAGAAGAAAGAAGAAAGAAGAUAAAGCCUUGGAUUGUGUAAGCGAAGAUAAGACAUUGGAUUUAUGACUAUGUAAUGAACUUUCUUUAUGUUGGAAGAAACCAUAUUUUGUAAAUACUUCAAGAAUGUUAUUUUUGUAACAAGAAAAAGCCUCCAGAGGAAGUGAAAGACAAAUUAACCUGGCCUGUGUGUUUUUGUUCAUUUGGUCAUUUGCUAUCCGCUGCUGAGUUACAUUGCUGCUGUUAAACAACUACAAUUUCUUUACGGGGCAGCUCUUUUGUUUGUAAGCCCCCUCGCCCAACAGAUACUUCCUAAGUCCUCCCUACCGUCCUUUAAGAAACAAUUGAAAACCUGAAUGUUUGGGCUGGCCUUUGGAGAGACAGCUAUUGGAUGACCAGCCUCAUUAUAAUUCUAUUCUGAAUGUUAUUAGGUUCCUUUCAUCGGGAUUUUAAUCUAAUGAUUUUAUCUUAUAUUGCUGCUAUAGUCCCCCCCCCACCUUUGAAGUUGACUGAAUUGCAUUGGUGAUUGUUUGAUAUUAUUACUGUUGUAUAAACCUUUGUUUUAACUUCUGUUUUAUCAUCUUCUUGUGUUUUAAACUGUGUAUAUUGUUAAUGUAUUUGCACUGUUAUUUUUGUAACAUUGUGAGCCGCCCCGAGUCCCCACGGGGUGAUGAUGGAGGGGUAUAAAUAAAGAAUUAUUAUUAUUA